rnacentral:misc_RNA from 1 species
AACGCAUAUUGCACUCUUUGGUAUUCCGAAGAGUAUGCCUGUUUGAGGGUCAUUUGAAAAUUAAUCUUGACUAUUAUUAGUCUUGGAAUAAUGAGUUUUCCAUUCACCACCAAUCUUUUGGUAACUCGAAAUCAAUGCUAACGUCUUGGCUUGUAACAGACGCGUUUAUGUUUAAAUCUUCGCAACUAAUCAAGUCUUGGUAUGGCAUGCUCAAUUUCCUUUCCUCCUUUGAUGAGAGGUGAGGAAAUAGAACAAUACUUUUAUAAUCGUGACCUCAAAUCAGGUAGGAUUACCCGCUGAACUUAA